rnacentral:tRNA from 1 species
AUUCAGUGAUGAUAUUAAAUUGCAAAUUUAAAGGUAAAGUAUUUCUAAACUUUUAAGGCUU